GACCACGUGCAAGUAGGCAUUAAUCCAAGUGUAUAUAAUAAGUAUAAGUUUAUUUUCCAGGUUCAACUGGAGGGUUUUCUGGCAAAAAGCUGCAUGCGCAGCUUGACUGUGUCCA
rnacentral:lncRNA from 1 species